rnacentral:tRNA from 1 species
AAGGGGAUGGCAGAUUGGCUAUGUGGUUAAUUUGAAAUUAACCUAGGGGGGUUCAACUCCCUCUCUUCUUG